UACAGAGGUCUCAAGCGUUGUUCGGAUUCAUUGGGCGUAAAGGGUGUGUAGGUGGCGCCGUAAGUCGGGUGUGAAAUCUCGGGGCUUAACUCCGAAACUGCAUUCGAUACUGCGGUGCUUGAGGACUGGAGAGGAGACUGGAAUUCCUGGUGUAGCGGUGGAAUGCGCAGAUAUCAGGAGGAACACCGGUGGCGAAGGCGGGUCUCUGGGCAGUAACUGACGCUGAGGAGCGAAAGCGUGGGGAGCGAACAGG
rnacentral:rRNA from 1 species